rnacentral:misc_RNA from 1 species
CUAAGGAGUUUUGUUUUCACUCCGUGUUUUUCUUUUGUUGCGGGGUGGCUCUUUUGUUUUUUUAAAAUCCAAGUUUCUGUUUUGGUGCAAGCAUGGUUGGCGCAUUGUUGGGUGUCUGAGGCGACACGUGGCACAUCAGUUUGUGGUGUGUUGUGUUGUUUCUGGCGCUGUCUUGCUGGCACGUGAGUGUGUUGGUGGGUGGUGUUGGUGUUGUUUGAGAACUGUAUAGUGGACGCGAGCAAUUAAUUGUGUUUUUUGUUCUUAGUGUUUGUUCUUCUUGAUUGUUUGU